UAACAAUGCCUGAAAGGGUGUCGAAGCGAUGCCGCGUGAGUGAGGAAGGCCUUCGGGUUGUAAAGCUCUGUCAGGAGUUAAGAAAUAUAAGUGUGCUAAUACCACAGAUAUUUGACGAAGGCUCCAAAGGAAGCCACGGAUAGCUCUGACCAGCAGCCGCGGUAAUACAGAGGUGGCCAGCGUUCUUCGGAAUUAUUGGGCGUAAAGAGCACGUAUCAUUAAUGCUAAGUCAGAUGCGAAAUCCUUGUGUUGAAAGGAAGCAGUGCAUGCGAAACAACGAAUGUGGAUUGUAUGAGGCGAGAGGCGAACCUGUGGUGGAGCGGUGAAAUUCGUAGAUAUCAGAAGGAACGACGGCGGAGAAAGUGACAAUUUGGCACAGUAAACACAUUCAGUCUGGGAUACGUCAAGGAGCCAACGGGACAAGUUGCCCCGGUAGUCCUAGGAUGUAAGAUGAUGCACUCUAAGUAGAGGGGUUUU
rnacentral:rRNA from 1 species